rnacentral:rRNA from 1 species
GGACGAACGCUGGCGGCGCGCCUAACACAUGCAAGUCGAACGAGCGAGAGAGAGCUUGCUUUUUCGAGCGAGUGGCGAACGGGUGAGUAACGCGUGAGGAACCUGCCUCAAAGAGGGGGACAACAGUUGGAAACGACUGCUAAUACCGCAUAAGCCCACGGCUCGGCAUCGAGCAGAGGGAAAAGGAGCAAUCCGCUUUGAGAUGGCCUCGCGUCCGAUUAGCUAGUUGGUGAGGUAACGGCCCACCAAGGCGACGAUCGGUAGCCGGACUGAGAGGUUGAACGGCCACAUUGGGACUGAGACACGGCCCAGACUCCUACGGGAGGCAGCAGUGGGGAAUAUUGCACAAUGGGGGAAACCCUGAUGCAGCGACGCCGCGUGGAGGAAGAAGGUCUUCGGAUUGUAAACUCCUGUUGUUGAGGAAGAUAAUGACGGUACUCAACAAGGAAGUGACGGCUAACUACGUG